rnacentral:rRNA from 1 species
UACGGAGGGUGCGAGCGUUGUCCGGAAUCACUGGGCGUAAAGGGCGCGUAGGCGGCGCGAGUAGUCAACGGUGAAAGCCCGGGGCUCAACCCCGGGUCGGCCGUCGAUACUCUCGUGCUUGAGCACUGUAGAGGCAGGCGGAAUUCCUGGUGUAGCGGUGAAAUGCGCAGAUAUCAGGAGGAACACCGGUGGCGAAGGCGGAUCUCUGGGCCGUGCCUGACGCUGAGGCGCGAAAGCUAGGGGAGCGAACAGG